AGACGUCGCAAAGUUAAAAUUCGAAGAUAAUGCGAACAAAUUGUCCGAACGCGACCACCAAAACCUUACACCCCGUUCGUCGAUUGGCCCCGACGAACACGCCAGCCGUCUUAAACAAACGCAAUUUGAUCACUCUUUUGAUCUUCAAAACAUCCAACACAAGGGCGAAAGCGCGCUACAACAAAAAUCCGAAAUUUUUGUUUAGCACUUCCAGUUGGCUUAAAAAUUGCCUCUGAGAAGAUGCUCGAUUCGUACCAUACAAGUCAUAUAAGCCGAGAACCUAUCGCGGACUUUAAAUCAGUACGAGUCAGGAAGAAAUCGCAGCAGGAAAAACGAUAGCCGGCUAGUCACCACAUAAACCUUAAACCGAAAGUAAACCUAGGUCUUGCCCUAAACCCAACUCUCUGGUCUCUAACAUCUCAAGGCAUGAUAUCUAAAAAUUGAUACGAGAUCUUAAAACCAUGUCUCGCCGUUCGUUUCUAAACGUUCACAAAAUUCUGCAUCUUUUACGAACAGACGAAAGAACGCUACACUAUGAGUUAGGUAUGAGACGACAACUCAUAUUCUUUU
rnacentral:lncRNA from 1 species